ACCUUUGCUGUCUUGGAACAGAUCACCACUGCAAGAGGGGAAGUUGCUACUGUGAUGAAUUCUGCCAUGUGGUACCAGACUGCUACCCAGACCACAGUGUCCUCUGCAACCCUCCUUCUCAGAUGACCAAGAUGGUGCUGCAGAUGGUGCUGAGGAUGGAGAACCCACCAAGCCCCGCUAGGAGCCACCUAGACUGGAUGUAGAGCAUGGAGUUUUAUUUGCUUCCAAGAAGGAAGGCAAGAUUUCCUGGGUCCGUGAUGAUGGAAGGCUGACAACUCUUUUAUGGAGUUUGAGCUUGCUCCCAGCAGGGAAGACAAGUUCGAGUUUUUUUCCUGCUUCAAGGAUGGUAGAGAGCAGUCUUCAGCCUGAGACCCAUCCCUAGGCCCCAGCACCCGCAGAGCAGACACUGCGAUGACAACGGACGACACAGAAGUGCCCGCUAUGACUCCAGCACCGGGCCACGCCGCUCUGGAAACUCAAACGCUGAGCGCUGAGACCUCUUCUAGGGCCUCAACCCCAGU
rnacentral:lncRNA from 1 species